UUAUGGUCGAUCUACUUCAGCCUAUCAAAAGCGAAUUUUUGGGUCAAAUUCAAAUGAUCAUAACUCCUUGUACAUAAUGAUCUUGGUGAGAUACUAUAUAUCAAUGGAAAUAUAUGAGAGUCCUAUUUCUAAUGAAAUUGGUUUCAUCCAAUUUAGAUAUCGGAGUAAAACGUUAUGGUUGAUCUACUUUAGACUUUCAAAA
rnacentral:lncRNA from 1 species